GACCCGGUGGCUUUUAGGGGGGGAGGCCACUCGCUGCUUAGCGCUCCUCCGCCCGCCGCCGCUCCGCCGGGCUGGCCGCUGCCCGGCCGCUGCCCCUCCCGUCCACGGCACCUACCUCGAGCUCCCCGCGGGCUGCGGGGCUCCGCGCCCGGAGCAGGAGCAGGAGCAGGAGGCAGCUGGGCGGGCAGAAGCACCGCGGAGUCGCGCCGUGACCGGGUGGCGGGGGGAGACGGGAGGCAGAGAGGAGGAAAAAGAAAGCGGGGGAACAGCGAGGGUUGACUCUGGGAGCGGGUCUCGGCACCCAGGACCCGCACGCCCCGGCGGCCACGCGUGGGUGCAGAGCUCAGGGCCGGGCGGAAGAUGCACACGACGCAGAAGGACACCACCUACACCAAGAUCUUCGUCGGGGGCUUGCCUUACCACACCACCGACUCCAGCCUGCGCAAGUACUUCGAGGUGUUCGGCGACAUCGAGGAGGCGGUGGUCAUCACCGACCGGCAGACGGGCAAGUCCCGGGGAUACGGCUUUGUCACCAUGGCCGACAGAGCCGCUGCCGAACGAGCGUGUAAGGACCCCAACCCCAUCAUCGAUGGUAGGAAGGCCAACGUCAACCUGGCGUACCUGGGUGCCAAGCCGAGGAUCAUGCAGCCAGGUUUUGCCUUUGGUGUUCAGCAGCUUCAUCCAGCUCUCAUACAGAGGCCUUUUGGCACCAGAUCUAUUUAGAUCCUUAAUCCUAUUCCCACCUUCCAAAAAACUCUAUGCCGUAUGUCUUGCAUAGAAAUAAACAAGCUGGCACAAAACAGGACAGCAGUGGCCUGAUAAUCAAACAGGAUCCCAGCUCACUAUGUCUAUCCACAGGCUUUUGUGCAGCCCGGAGUGGUAAUUCCCCACGUCCAACCCGCAGCAGCCGCUGCUUCCACUACGCCCUACAUCGACUACACCGGAGCUGCCUACGCCCAGUACUCGGCCGCCGCGGCCGCCUACGAGCAAUACCCGUACGCCGCCUCUCCGGCCGCCGCUGCCGGCUACGUGGCGGCGGGGGGCUACGGCUACGCGGUGCAGCAGCCCAUCACCGCAGCGGCACCGGGGACGGCGGCUGCGGCGGCUGCGGCUUUUGGCCAGUACCAACCCCAACAGCUGCAGACAGAUCGUAUGCAAUAGCAGAUGGACUCCCGAGGGAAGCUCGUUCUUUCUCUUCCUCUUUUUUUGGCCUUCCAGUAUAAGUAGUUAAUCAGAGACAAUUGAUGUUAACUAAGGAGCUUUAAGGAAAGCGACGCUAUUGCGAAACUAAAGAGUUUUUAUUCCACUGUCUUCAUACAGUAUGCAUCCAAAUCUUGUUGUUAGAGGGGAGGGGUAGUGCGGCAUGGCUAGUUUCAAGUAUCGAUCCGGAAGAAAAUGGGAAAAAUAUACUGUACUGUCAUGAAAGAGUGGCAGGAGUAGCAAUGGGACUUCAUAUUUUAAAAGAAACGAGAACCAAAAAAAAAAAAACAAAGGUGUAUUUUUACAGUAUCAGGGAAGCAAAACUGCCUUUUAUAAGCGAGAAAGUGGUAUUCAAAAAGUUCGAACCAGGGGAAAAAACUGAGUCAGCAAUAUGUAACCUUUACCCAUUUUGAGAGAGGAAGCAAGCUUAAAGCACUGAUUGUCCUUUGUAGCUUUCAGAAGCUGUCUUCGUGAGAUAGCAUCUUCCCACCGUUUCACUAACGGGCAUCGAACAACCCAAGGAGGAUGGCCUGCUAGUAAGAUGGCGGACAGGCACCAAAGUUAUUUUCUUAUCUGUCCUCUGGAUGAGUGGAACUAUGGAGCAAGUGAUGUGGAAGUAAGGGGUGCAACAGCUGUAGAGACAAUCAAUAACACAGACAGUUCUGGACAGAACACAUCACUCAUGCUCAUGUGAUGAGCUUGUCACAUCCUAAUCCCUCGCCCCAUCCUGUUUCACUUUUGGGAAACUUUAACUGCUGGUGUCAGCUAUUCUGAUUCUAAAAUAGGAUCAGCCCUUUACUACAACAGCCUUCUCUUUCUAUUUAUUGCAUCUAUUCGUAACUUGUGAAUAAAGGCAGGAAGAAGCUUAAUGAAUUAAAACUUUUAAGAACUGUUUUAAGGGAAUUUUCUUUUCUGAAACCAUUUGUACGAUUUUAAUAUCUAUUUCAGGACUAUAUUUAAAAUAUUUAUUAGUGAACGUACAUUACACAAGGCAACUUUUGUUACCAAGACUGCAGUUCUUGAAGGGUUAAUGGUAUGUGAUUUAUACUGUGCCUUAAUUGUUAUGCUAUUUAAAAAGAAAUAUUUAUUUUGAAAGUUUUACUAUGCUGUGCUCUAAAGAAAGCAACUUUAGAUGUGACACUGUAAAAUUAUGUAUUCAUCUCAUGGCAUAAAUUAUUUAGUAGACUUAGAUGUAGCAUAUUAAAUAUUAACCUAAUUAACUAAGGAUGUUGACUUGGAUUUAUUUAAAUUCAGUAUGUGCACUGUAUGAGGGUACUCUUAAAUUAACACUUUUUUUUUUUUUAGGUUUUUACAUUAAAUAUUGCUAGUUCAUUCUUUUUCCCUCUCAUAGUUCUUCAUGUAGACCUCUCAAGUACAUUAGUGCAGUUUUCUCACUCAUCUGUAUGUAGACUGACUAUUUUUCCCUUUGCUAGGAAAUGCUGCUUUACAUUGUCCUGUGAAACUACAAUACUUGCAAUUUUUACUCUUGACCGACAUGGAAUUUAAUAUUUUACACUGUAUUGGAUUUUUUUAUACUUGAACAAUUUCAUACAAGGGAAGACAGGAUAGCAUUUUUAUGGACUUUUAUCCAACGUCACUGGAUUUAUUUUAAGUAUUCUGAGUACUAGCCAGUGUUACAAUGUAGACAUGACUCUUCUGUGCAUAUUAUUUAUUCAGUAUGUAUAUUGCUUUACAACAUUUCAGAUCUUUUAAUCAAUUCACUCGUAUUAAAAACAAUAAAAAAAACUCUUGUCGCA